GUGGGGAAUAUUGGACAAUGGGGGGAACCCUGAUCCAGCCAUGCCGCGUGUGUGAAGAAGGCCUUUUGGUUGUAAAGCACUUUAAGCGAGGAGGAGGCUACCGAGAUUAAUACUCUUGGAUAGUGGACGUUACUCGCAGAAUAAGCACCGGCUAACUCUGUGCCAGCAGCCGCGGUAAUACAGAGGGUGCAAGCGUUAAUCGGAUUUACUGGGCGUAAAGCGCGCGUAGGUGGCCAAUUAAGUCAAAUGUGAAAUCCCCGAGCUUAACUUGGGAAUUGCAGUCGAUACUGGUUGGCUAGAGUAUGGGAGAGGAUGGUAGAAUUCCAGGUGUAGCGGUGAAAUGCGUAGAGAUCUGGAGGAAUACCGAUGGCGAAGGCAGCCAUCUGGCCUAAUACUGACACUGAGGUGCGAAAGCAUGGGGAGCAAACAGGAUUAGAAACCCUGGUAGUCC
rnacentral:rRNA from 1 species